GACGAACGCUGGCGGCGCGCCUAACACAUGCAAGUCGAACGAGCGAGAGAGAGCUUGCUUUCUCGAGCGAGUGGCGAACGGGUGAGUAACGCGUGAGGAACCUGCCUCAAAGAGGGGGACAACAGUUGGAAACGACUGCUAAUACCACAUAAGCCCACGGUGCCGCAUGGCACAGAGGGAAAAGGAGCAAUCCGCUUUGAGAUGGCCUCGCGUCCGAUUAGCUAGUUGGUGAGGUAAUGGCCCACCAAGGCGACGAUCGGUAGCCGGACUGAGAGGUUGAACGGCCACAGUGGGACUGAGACACGGCCCAGACUCCUACGGGAGGCAGCAGUGGGGAAUAUUGCACAAUGGGGGAAACCCUGAUGCAGCGACGCCGCGUGGAGGAAGAAGGUCUUCGGAUUGUAAACUCCUGUUGUUGGGGAAGAUAAUGACGGUACCCAACAAGGAAGUGACGGCUAACUACGUG
rnacentral:rRNA from 1 species